CCUGCCUGCAGCCUCUCCUCACUACUGUCAAACACAGAAGACGGGGAUACUGACCGGACUUUUAACCUGCACAGGAUUUCAAAACAGGUCAAGGCGAAAGGAAGCCAGCCAACUUACUGCUAACAGUGUGGGAUAUAGCCUGACCAUAGAAGCAACACAAAAAGUUGAGUUAGGAGGGCUAGAGAAACGGCUUGGCAGUAAGUUCAUGUCGAAAUCCCUGGAUCCUGUAAAUGUGACCCUACUUGGGGAAAAGGUUCCUGAGAGACACUUACGGACUUUCCGAUAAGAAGAACUGAAUUACCCAGACAAACCUUCAAUCCAUUGGUAAGUGCCUGGAUGAGAGACAGGACAGACACUAACAAGGCAAAGCGGCCGAGGAGAGAUUGGAAGGAUGCGGCCACAUCCCACGCGUUGAGGGACUCUCCCUGGCACCACUCCCAGGGAGCCAAGUAGACGGGCGUGGGGAAGCCACGUGUGGGGCCACUUCCAGCAGCAUGGGUGAGGGGUGGCUUAGACGAUGACACAGGAAGGGUUUUCUCCUAGAGCUUCCAGAAGACCCACUGACACCUUCACUUGGGACUUCCAGCCUUCACAGAUAUAAGAAUGUUUCCCUGGAGUCAUCAAAUGUCUAUAAAUCUACCACCGGCGCCAGACAGACUCAUAUACAUUCCUACAAACCUCUCCUGCUAUUCUAGAGCUGCCUUGAAACCAGCGCCAGAUACCACAGCACUUUAUGCAUGGUAUCACAAUUAGUCUACAAAUGAAACGCCAUUGUACAACUCUCUUAAAAUUUAAAAUUCCAUUAUUCUGCCUCCUCCUUAGCUCUCUAAUUUCUCCGGCUAUACCAUAAAGAUUACUAGUCCUAGUCUAGUAUUUGAACCUGAGCAAGAUCCACAUACAGCACCUGAGUGAUAUGAAGGAAUGUAUUUUAUAGCAAUGGAUGAAUGAAGAGAGACAAGGUCCGGCACAGGCUUUGGGAAUGUGCGAGAAAUUCCCAGAGCCUGGACCCAUGCCCUAGGGUUUCGGUGGAUGCUCACAGUGCAUUAUCUAUCACGAGAGAUAACUGGACUCACAGGAGUGUGGAUGCCAACACAGUGCUUUACGUUCGCUAGGGCUCCGUGGAGAAGCAGAGGACAGACAACUGUCUGAGAAGCUGGAAGGUCGGGAGAAUUAAACACGGCCAGGAAAAUCCACGGUAAGGAAGUCUGCACCGUGGGAUGCAUAUAAAUCAUCAGCUCUCCUGGGCCUGAACUGAAGCUAAAGAAAGAAAAGAAAACAGCGGUGGGAAAAGGGAGACACGCAAGCGCAGUACCUCAUUCCAGAAGCAAGCUCAGCGCAGGCGCACUCCCGCGAUACGGCCCACUUUACCCUGCGGGCCGAGCCGGCCCCGCAGUGCGCAUGUGCAGCUCCUUAGGUCCAGCCCCGCCCAGCAGUUUGCGUGCCAUUCAGCAACCUAGAAAUUCCGUGCGUGCGUGUGACUAGUUCCUGCCGCCUCCUGCCGGGCUGGCUGACGCUGGCAGCAGGUGCAUUUCUGGUGCAUUGCCAGCUAGAUCCCAGAAGGAAGAUUUUUAGCAGGAAUGAAGUUCUUUCGGGGAGCCCACCCUGGUGGAGCAUCUACGGAAGGCAAACAACGUACUGGUUGUCUAAAUUCUUCCUGUUUUCCUUGGAGGGAGGUGGCCUUCCAAAAGGUGGAGUAGGAUGUCCAGAUCAGAGUUCAAGUUGAUAUGGUUUAAAGCCCGAGUCCCCUUACAGCUUACUGUCUCUAGGAUCAGACAGAUGUGCGCGUGACCUCAAGACCGUGCGUUUACACUGUGGGACCAGGGAUACCAGCCUUCAACGUCCGGGAGGAAUGGUACAGAGCGCCAGAUUGGGAAAGCAUUUUUAAUCUUGCGAGUCCAGGGGACUCAGUUCCCAGAAAAGAAUCUUAAAUUGACAUGAAAUUGUGCCUCUUGGUAAAUUCUUACAACACUCUGGUUUUGCCUUCUAGGCUGAAAAUAGUAACCAGGGCGGACGCUCUGCUCUCUAAUUAUACAAUAGCAAUCCAGGUAUUGAGGGAGGCUCCUGGGUUCUGUGGGGAUUCCAAACACAAACGAACUUAAUAUGUACAUUACAUCUUGUGACAUUCGUUUGCUGAAACUAUUCCUUACACACACACACACACACACACACACACACUAUUCUGGGAAGCAACGUGACUGUAUUUUGAGAAUCGGGAAGUCCACACUGAUCUUAGGGGAUUAAUAUCAAACCCUUGAAGAGUCACGGGAACAGAGACGGCAAGUCACAGGGAUGAGGAGGCUGCGGCAUCCUGAUGUUUGCCUCUGAGUUCUCCAGGAAACUCCUUCCCACCCUGCUGUGUCCCCCCUCACCCCCAGCCUUGUCUCUCUCCCUAGACAAACAAAACACUUUCCCUACUCAAAAUAAACCUUCUUAGUAGUC